AGGCGAGCCAAGCAGCUAGCGACCCGAUACCGUCCGCCGAGGGUAGGCUUGUGAGCUGAUACCGCCGCUGCGGUCCUGCCUUACAUGGGGCGCUCUGCCAGGGAGGGUUCCGGGCCUGGGCGAGACAAGCAAGCUGUCAUGUUACAAGCAGCCCUUUGAGGGGUCCAUGUGAUGUCUAAGAAUGAAGUCUAGUCAACUUUUAAUGAGGUCUUGAGGCCCACAAGUAAUCUUGAGUGAGCUUGGAAGUAGCUCCUUCAGCAUCACUUGGGUGUUGAGAUAACUGCUGACAGCUUUACUACAACCUCAUGAGAGUCUUCUGAACCAGAACCACUCAGAAGGUGAUAACUGAGCUGAGAGGCAAAGGAUGAGAAGGAAUCUGUCCUGUGAAGAUCUGGGAAGCCGGUAUACUAAGCAGAAGAGCAGCAAGUACAAAGACCGUGAGGAAGAAGACCGAAGACUAAGUUCUGGGCACUCCAAUUGUAGGCAGUAGUGGAGAUGAAGAAAAACCAGAGCACUAUAUGGUAAAGGAGCAGCCAACAAGGUACCAGUUGAAUGAAGAGAAGCACACCUCCUCCCCAGAACAGUACUGCAGCUAUGAUAUAACGCCUGGGCAGGGUUCGAAGUAGCAGCCAGGCUAUAAUGUAAGCUGGAACUUCAAUCAAGGCAGAGAGGAAACAGUUCAGGUAGGCAUCUCCAUGUAAAUUAGGAGCAUCCAGAGACAGAGCAAAGUAACCCACUGAGGUCAGCAUCCUGAGAAAAAAAGGUAAAAAUGACAAUGGGAUGGUGUGAAUCUCUCUAAGGUUUUAUGAUGGUCAAGAAAUUGUCUAUAUCUUGCUGUCCUAUAAGUAGCCACUACCCUCACUGGCUACUUAAAUUUAAAUAAAGUAAAAUUAAAUAAAAUUACAAAUUCAUUUCCUUAGUUAUACUAGCCACACUUCAAGUUCUUAAUAGUCAUGUGUAGCUAGUGGUUGCUCCAUUGAACAACAUAGAUAUAAAACAUUUCUAUCACUGCAGAAAGUUUUACUGGACAAUGCUAGUCUAGAUAUAUACCAAAUUCAACAAUACCUUUUCUCAGUUAGUUGAUUUCAAGUUUUCCUAUUUCCUGAAUAGUUUGUACCUCCUCAAUCUCUUAGAGCUAUUAUUUGAAGAAAAACUAUUAGUCACAUCAGUGAACAUAAAAUACAGAUUUCAUUCUUUAACAAAAAAGAAGAUAUAAGGAUUAUACUGUGGGAUCCACUUAGAGUAAAUUCUGAUUCUCUUUAGGCAAAAGAGGAAUGUCCCUUAAUGCUUCCAAGUAUCAGACUGCAGCCUGUGCAUCCUGUCAUUAUAGUUAACUUUCAUGUACAAGCUUCUCCGUGGGCUGGGCGUGGUGGCUCACACCUGAAAUCCCAGCACUUUGGGAGACUGAGGCAGACAAAUCACCUGAGGUCAAGAGUUUGAGACAAGCCUGGUCAACAUGGUGAAACCCCGUCUCUACUAAAAAAUACAAAAAUUAGUUAGGCAUGGUGGUAUGCACCUAUAAUCCCAGCUACUUGGGAGGCUGAGUCAGAAUUGCUUGAACUCAGGAAGCAGAGGUUGCAGUGAGCCAAGAUCGCACCAUUGUACUCCAGCCUGAGUGACAGAGCAAGACCCCAGACCCCAUCUCAAAAAAAAAAAAGCUUCCCCAUGGAAAAAAUUACUAUGUAACUGAGUACCCUCAUUUUUUCUAAGAGAUAGUUUAUUCUCUCUCUUCUUUUCUCAUUCCUCCUUUUCCGUACUUUCUACUUGCUCUUUAGAAGUGCCUUUGUUUUUGUUUUGUUUUUGAGACGAAGAGUCUUGCACUGUCACCCAGGCUGUAGUGGAGUCUCCAAUCUCGGCUCACUGCAAUCUCUACCUCCUGGGUUCAAGCAAUUCUCCUGCCUCAGCCGCCCAAGUAGCUGGGACUACAGACACGCACCACCAUGCCCAGCUAAUUUUUUUGUAUUUUUAGUAGCAACGGGGUUUCACCAUGUUGGCCAGGAUGGUCUCGAUCUCCUGACCUCAUGAUCCACCGGCCUUGGCCUCCCAAAGUGCUGUGAUUACAGGCAUGAGCCACUGCACCUGGCCCUAGAAGUGCCUUUUAACCCUCUCUUCACUGGACACUAUGUGCAGGGCAAGUUUAUCUAACUAUGUGCUUAGAAGCUCCAGAGCAGAACUCUUACUCCCUGGGAGAUUUCCUCAAGAGAUAACAGUCAAUUUCCAGCCCAAAGAAUGCCUGCUAGAGUUUUCAGCCACCUGUACAACCUAUUUCUGCCCAUGAAGGCACCUACUCAACUGCCCAGUAGAUAAUGCCUCCCAAAAUGUUGGGAUUACAGGCAUGAGCCACUGCGCCUAGCCCUAGAAGUGCCUUUUAACCUCCUCUUCACUGGACACUCCCUGCAGGGCAAGUUUGUCUAACUAUGUGCUUAGAAGCUCCAGAGUGGGACUCUCACCCCCUAGGGGAUUUCUUCAAGGUAUAACAAUUUCCAACCCAAAGUGUGCCUGCUAGAGUUUUUGGCCAUAUGUACAGCCUAUUUCUGCUCAUGGAGGCACCAACUCAACUGCUCAAUAGAUAACGUCGCAAGCUAGCACUGGGACCCCUCACCUGCUUGCGUCCUCCCCUGCCUUUUAAAAGUGCCUGCUUUCUCCUCCAAAAAGAGAAGCGGUACCCUUCAGGCAGGAAGCCGAUACCCUUCUCCAUAAGUUAGCUUUGGAAUAAAAAGUCACUUUCCUUACAUCAGACCUUGCUCUUGUUAAUUGGACACUGCAAGCUGUGAGUGACUGAAUCUGCAUUUCUGUGACAACUGCACUAUACAGAUGCCCCUGUGUAGAAAUUUGCUUAUUAUUAACAUGACCGAGAAGCAGAGGAUAUUUGAAAAAUGCUUUCAGGAACACUGAUGGAUCUUUUUAUACAUACUAGACCCAAAUCAGAUAACCAUAAGGACCAAUUCAUAAACAAAACAAAUAAUUAAAUUUUACUGCUCAAGGGUUCUUAGUGAUUUUCCCAUUUAGUAAUAGGAGCAGCUUAGAUAGAACUAGUGACUAAUUUUUUAUUAGCUUAAUAGCACUAUUACCUCAGAACAUUUGCAUCAGAGAUAUAUACUGAAAUGUAAGAACUAAGAAGGUCAUGUACCUGGGACACACUUGCUUAAUUCAGAGGCAUAAGUUCUAUCACCGAUCUCUUCUAAUUGCCAGGUAGGAUGGCCCUUAAAAAUAAGUUCCAGCGCGGUGGCUCACACCUGUAAUCCUAGCACUUUGGGAGGCUGAGGUGGGUGGAUCACCUGAGGUCAGGAGUUCAAGACCAGCCUGGCCAUCAUGGUGAAACCCCAUCCACCAGUUCUGAUGUUCAUCUUUUCUGUAUGUGUGUGUAAACUGGAACUUCAAUCAAGGCAGAGAGGAAACAGUUCAGGUAGGCAUCUCCAUGUAAAUUAUGAGCAUCCAGAGAUGGGGUGUGUAUGUGUGUGUGUGUGUGUGUGUGUGUGUGUGUGUGCGCGCGUACGCGUGCAUGUGUAUGCUGCCAUCAUAGAGUAGGAAUUUUCUUUUUUCCUUUCUCUUUUUUCUUGGCAGAUAAAUUAUUGAAUCUAAUCUAUAAAGCCAAUUCAUUAUUUCUGUGCCUUAAAGCCACUUGUUAGUUUGCUAUUGGCAAGUGUAAAAAGCUUAUCAAGGCUCCAAUCCACGUAAUGGGGAUUUAGGUUAUUGUAGCCUCACUGUUCAAUUGCCGGGUCAGUUUUAGGAGCAGGAGCUGAAUUAGCAUCUCUGCCUCAGGCACCAGGGAUAUCAAUAGUCUUAAUCUUAAAAAUUUUGGUGGGGAGGGAAUCCUUACCCAGGGACAUCAAUGAUAUCUCAAUCCCAUAACUUUAGGAGAGGGGAAGGCUUUCCCUUUGGGCCCCAGUACUGCAGACUUAAAUACUGUUCCCUGUGCCUUUCUUUCUUUCUUCUUCUUCUUUUUUUUUUUUUUUUUUAAUAGAGUGUUGCGCUGCUGCCAAGGCUGGAGUGCAGUAGCACAAUCUAGGCUCACUGCAACCUCUGCCUCCCGAGUUCAAGUGAUUAUCCUGCCUCAGCCUCCUGAGUAGCUGGGAUUACAGAUAUGCACCACCAUGCCAGGCUGUUUUUUGUAUUUUUAGUAGAGACGGGGUUUCACCAUGUUGGCCAGAUUGAUCUCAAACUCCUGCUCACCUCAGCCUCUCAAAGUGCUGGGAUUACAGGCGUGAGCCACUGCACCCAGUGACAUUUUUCAGCAUCCAGUCUCAUGAACUGAAUCUAGGCAUUUCAAAAUAAUUUAGAACUUUAUAAUUUUAAUUUUUCCUUAGGAAAACCCAGGUGUUGCCAUAAUGUUCCUCAGAGUCAAAGAAAAUCAGUUGCAUACUUACAUGCUGAAUAUCUGCAUUUCCAGGUCACUUAUUACUUACCAUAGCAGCAAAGACAUAAUGGUCAUUAUGGCAAUAUUCUGAGUUCUGAACAGGUCCAUAAUGAAAGCUUUUUGCUGCUUCAGGGUAUUUAGCUCCUGUAACUAAAAUAAUGCAAAUAACCAUGAGAUUAAGAGGUAGUAAGGAAGUAUCUUUGGCUAUGAUGCAUGGGGAAAACGUAUGCAUGCAACUCUCACUUCACCCUGACUAUGCUUAGAAGUGUGGGAAUUGGAGGCAAUAGGGCAUCUACAUAUAUGACGCUUAUUCUGACACUUUAAAAUGUUUGUAGCCCAUUUUAAACAGAAGCCUUUUAAAUAUAUGACACCCCCUCCCCUGUCUCAUUACACAAAGAAUAUUGGCUAACACAGCCUUUUUCUGAUUGACAGUCAUCACUAUGGAUGACCUUUACCACACUGAUCUGUGAUCCUCAGGAAUGCCUAUUGAAGGGUAGGGCCAUGUAGUCCGUUCCUUGAGGCCACCUCUGCUUUUUACACUUCUCCAUUUUGUUUGUUUGUUUGUUUUUUGAGAUGGAGUCUUGCUCUGUCACCCAGGCUGUAGUGCAGUGGCACAAUCUCAGCUCAUUGCAACCUCUACCUCCCAGGUUCAAGUGAUUCUCCUGCCUCAGCUUUCUGAGUAGCUGGGAUUACAGGCAGGCACCACCACAUCUGGCUAAUUUUUUGUAUUUUUAGUAGAGAUGGGGUUUCACCAUGUUGGCCAGGCUUGUCUCAAACUCCUGACCUCAGGUGAUCCACCCACCUCAGCCUUCCAAAGUGCUGGGAUUACAGGUCUUAGCCACCAGACCCAGCCUAUUCUUUUACUUUUAAUUUGCUGACAGUAAUUUGACAUGAGUUAUGAAUCAAGGUAACCAAGCUGAGUAGAAUUGAAACUAACAAAAAAAUUAUUAGGCUCUAACUUCUCCCUAGAGGUGGGGAAUCUCUAGGGGAUGAAGUACCAGGACUUGGUGACUGUGGCCCUAUGGCACAUGCGCAGUAAGAGACUGAUGGAGGAGUUUCUAUUAUGAAGAGGUGAGAGUGCCAGGCCUGCCUUGACAGCAGGUGCUCGCCUUCUUUCUAGGAAUAAUCAGACACUUAUGGAGCUUACAGCCACAUUGCCUUUUCUCUCCUGCACUAUUUGAACUGUAGAGCCCCAGAACAUGCCCCCAGCAGAAUAACCCUGGUAUUACAACAAAGCAAAGCCACUGCAUAAACUAGUGGGAAAGACAUCAUCUUGGAGGGUUCUGGGGUGGUACACACAGACAGGAUCUGUGGACCAGGCCUGUGCUAACACUUGGUGGUUCCAUGGGGCCCUUCUCAAAUGCAGAUUGCCAGGUCCCUCCCUGGGCUUGCCUACUUUGACUCUUUUAUACAGAGGCCUGAGAAUCUGUAUUCUUUUUUUUUUUUGAGAGAAGGAAAGAAAGAAAAAGGAGUGAAGGAGAGGAAGAAAGAUGAAGAAAAAGAGGGAGAGAGUACGGAAAUGUUGCUUUAUUCUAAAAAAAAAUGGGUAUUAAUAAUGGCCAAUCAAUAUUUCAUUUAAACCUUUGAGUAGGUGUGAUGUGGCAUUGACAAGAAUGUAUAUUUUGUGUAUUUGAAGUGGAGAGCUCUAUAAAUAUUUAUUAAGUUUACUUGUUCCGGAUCUGAGUUCGAGUCCUUGAUAUCCUUAUUAAUUUUCUGUCUCAUUGAGUCUAAGUCUCUAUGUACUGGGUGUUAGGAUCGUUAGCUUUUGUUGUUGCAUUGAUCCUUUUACCACUAUAUCUUUGUUGCUUUAAAAUCUAUUUUAUCAGAUACGAGAUUUGCAACUCCUGCUAUUUAUUUAUUUAUUUAUUUUUGCUCUCCAUUUGGUUGGUAAAUCUUUCUCCAUCCCUUUGUUUUGAGUCUUUGUGUAUCCUUGCAUGUGAAAUGGGUCUAGAUGUGGCAUACCAUUGGGUUUUGGCUAUAUCUUUUGAUUGGGGGAUUUAGUCGAUUUAAAUUUAGGAUUACUGCCAUUUGAUGUUAACUGGCUGUUUUAUCCAUUUGUUGGUGUAAAUUCUUCUUUAUGUUGAUGCUCUUUACUUUUUGGUAUAUUUUUAGAAAGACUAAUACUGGUUGUUUCUUUCUAUGUGUAAUGCUUCUUUCAGAAGCUCUUGUAAAGCAGGCCUGGUGGUAAUAAAAUCUCUGAGUACUUGCUUGUUCAUAAAAGAUUUUAUUUUUCCUUCAGUUGUGAAGCUUAGUUUGGCUGGAUAUGAAAUUCUGGGCUAAAAGUUCUGUUCUUUAAGGAUGUUGAAUAUUGGCCCCCACUCUCUUCUGGCUUGUAGAGUUUCUGCUGAGAGAUCUGCUGUAAGUCUGAUAGGCUUCCCUUUGUGGGUAACCUAACCUUUCUCUCUGGCUGCGCUUAGUAUUUUCUCCUUCGUUUCAACUCUGGUGAAUCUAACGAUUAUGUGCCUUGGGGUUGCUCUUCUUGAGGAAUAUCUUUGUGGUGUUCUCUGUAUUACCUGGGGUUGAAUAUUGUCCUGCUUUGCUAGUUUAGGAAAAUUUUCCUGAAUAAUAUCCUGAAGAAUAUUUUCCAGCUUGGAUUCAUUCUCUCCGUCACAUUCAGGUACACCUAUCAAAUGUAAAUUUGGUCUUUUCACAUAGUCCCACAUUUCUUGGAGACUUUGCUCAUCCCUUUUUAUCCUUUUUUCUCUAAUCUUGUCUUCUCAUUUUAUUUCAUUAAGUUGGACUUCGACCUCUGAUAUCCUUUCUUCUGCUUGAACAAUUCGAGUGUUUACACCUGUGAAUACUUCUCGGAGUUCCCGUAUUGUAUUCUUCAGUUCCAUUAAUUCACUUAUAUUCCUCUCUAAGUUGUCUAUUCUCAUUAGGAUUUCGUCAAACCUUUUUUCAAAGUUCUUAGUUUCUUUACAUUGGGCUACAACAUAUUCUUUUAACUCACAGAAGUUUCUUAUUAUCCAUCUUCUGAAGACUGAUUCUGUUAAUAGGAUGCGCUCCUUCUCCAUCAAGCCUUGUUCCCUUGUUGAUGAGGAACUGUGAUCCUCUUUAGAGGGAGAGGCGUUCUGAUUUUGAGUAUUCUCAGGCUUUUUAAGCUGGUUUCUUCCCAUCAUUGUAAAUUUAUCCACCUGUUGUCU